AUUGAACGCUGGCGGCAGGCCUAACACAUGCAAGUCGAGCGGAUGAGGGGAGCUUGCUUCCUGAUUCAGCGGCGGACGGGUGAGUAAUGCCUAGGAAUCUGCCCGAUAGUGGGGGACAACGUUUCGAAAGGAACGCUAAUACCGCAUACGUCCUACGGGAGAAAGUGGGGGAUCUUCGGACCUCACGCUAUCGGAUGAGCCUAGGUCGGAUUAGCUAGUUGGUGGGGUAAAGGCUCACCAAGGCGACGAUCCGUAACUGGUCUGAGAGGAUGAUCAGUCACACUGGAACUGAGACACGGUCCAGACUCCUACGGGAGGCAGCAGUGGGGAAUAUUGGACAAUGGGCGAAGGCCUGAUCCAGCCAUGCCGCGUGUGUGAAGAAGGUCUUCGGAUUGUAAAGCACUUUAAGUUGGGAGGAAGGGCAGUCAGUUAAUACCUUGCUGUCUUGACGUUACCAACAGAAUAAGCACCGGCUAACUUCGUGCCAGCCGCCGCUGUAAAAC
rnacentral:rRNA from 1 species